GAUGAACGCUGGCGGCGUGCCUAAUACAUGCAAGUCGAGCGAACGGACGAGAAGCUUGCUUUUCUGAUGUUAGCGGCGGACGGGUGAGUAACACGUGGAUAACCUACCUAUAAGACUGGGAUAACUUCGGGAAACCGGAGCUAAUACCGGAUAAUAUUUUGAACCGCAUGGUUCAAAAGUGAAAGACGGUCUUGCUGUCACUUAUAGAUGGAUCCGCGCUGCAUUAGCUAGUUGGUAAGGUAACGGCUUACCAAGGCAACGAUGCAUAGCCGACCUGAGAGGGUGAUCGGCCACGCUGGAACUGAGACACGGUCCAGACUCCUACGGGAGGCAGCAGUAGGGAAUCUUCCGCAAUGGGCGAAAGCCUGACGGAGCAACGCCGCGUGAGUGAUGAAGGUCUUCGGAUCGUAAAACUCUGUUAUUAGGGAAGAACAUAUGUGUAAGUAACUGUGCACAUCUUGACGGUACCUAAUCAGAAAGCCACGGCUAACUACGUG
rnacentral:rRNA from 1 species